UCACGCCGCGUGGGGGAUGAAUGGCUUCGGUCCGUAAACCCCUGUCAUUUGGGAACAAGGUUGCAUCCUAACACGGUGCAACUUGAUAGUACUGGAAGAGGAAGGGACGGCUAACUCUGUGCCAGCAGCCGCGGUAAUACAGAGGUCCCGAGCGUUGUUCGGAUUCACUGGGCGUAAAGGGUGCGUAGGUGGUGGGGUAAGUCUGAGGUGAAAGCUCCGGGCUUAACCCGGAAAUUGCCUUGAAUACUAUCCCGCUAGAGGAUCGGAGGGGAGACUGGAAUUCUCGGUGUAGCAGUGAAAUGCGUAGAUAUCGAGAGGAACACCAGUGGCGAAGGCGAGUCUCUGGACGAUACCUGACACUGAGGCACGAAAGCCAGGGGAGCAAACGGGAUUAGAUACCCCGGUAGUCCUGGCCUUAAACGGUGCGCACUUGCUGUGGGCGGAAUCGACCCCGUCCGUGGCGAAGAUAACUCGAUAAGUGCGCCGCCUGGGGAGUACGGUCGCCAGAUUAAAACUCACAGAAAUUGACGGGGGCCUGCACAAGCGGUGGAGUAUGUGGCUUAAUUCGAUGCAAGGCGAAGAACCUUACC
rnacentral:rRNA from 1 species